rnacentral:lncRNA from 1 species
GGUUGUCACCUAGUUUGACAGUUUUUUAGUUUCAGCAUUAACAGUGCAUCAAAACAUAUAUCUAAGCUGUAUCUAAGCACUAUUGCUUUGUUAGUUUUUGGUAUGACUUGUUCAAUAAAUCUGUUUAGAGUGUCUGGUUAAAGCUCAGUGUAAAAUUUAAUCCAUCUCUUGAAGUUGCAGUUUACUGAAGAAAUAAUAACUACUUGGAUGAAAAAGAUUUAAUCUCAUUGUAUAUGUGACCUUUUGGAAGUACACACUCUGUAUGUGCUUAUUUUAUAGACUAAUGUGUAAAUAAUUCUCCUCUCUUCUCAUUUGCAAAUUUAUGUGUCUUAGAAUCUUGAUGAUUUGAUGGAGACUGAUUUUAUAUAUCACUUUGCUUAUUUAUAUUUGUACCAAUACAGGAGCAAUUGAAGCCAUUGCAAGCACAACUUAAGAGGGUGAAGGAUCUGCCUGCUCCUGAGUUUGGGAGUCUACAAUCAUGGGAAAGACUAAAUCUCGGUGCUUUCGCGCAUGGUGAUUCUGCUGCAGCUGAGGCAGCUAGGAAUGCACAAGGGCAGUACAAUGGUACACCGAUGCCUUAUCUUGGAGAUACAAAGGUAAGAGUGUCAUAUUGAUUUGAGUAGUAGGAUUUUGUAGUCAAGUAAUACGCAUAUGUAUGCUCAUAAUGAUAUAAUAUUUUAUAUCCUUUUCAUGGCCAUUCAGACUCUUGAAACAUAAAUGUUUAUCCCAAGAAAAAAAAGCGAUAGGCGUUAGCUGUGCAUUAGGCCUAGGCACACAUAAGCACACACCUAGAAUGAUUAAGUGCUUGGUGUUCUGUUGUCGCCAAGCGCUCCUAGGUGCACGUUUUAUUAUUCACUGGUUUAUCCUACUCAUCUACAUGAAAGUCUACACUUUGCAUUAUACGGUAUCUCAUUAACUAUAUUUUGUUCAAUCAUUUUAUGAUGAGUCUGAGACAUGUCCUUUAGUAUCUAUGUUUAAUAUACUGUGACAUGCACCCCCUAGCUUGUAUAACUGAUAGCUGGUCCUAUUUUCUUUCUACCAUAUUUUACUUGAUCAAUCGCGUUAUUUGGAUUUUCAGGUUGAUGUUGAGUUGGCUGGUUCGGGUGUAAAAGCAGAAGGUGAUGAAUCUGGCAGAGAUGGUUCAGCAUUGAAAGUCUUACCUCCAUGGAUGGUCAGAGAAGGGAUGAAUCUUACAAAAGAACAAAGAGGAGAGUCCAGUAACACAUCAAAAGGAGAUGAAAAAUCAGAAGUCAAAGAUGAGAAAAAACAGGACUCAAAAGAAGAUGAGAAGAGUUUACAGGUCAGAUUAGAAUUGAAUAUAGCAUAGAAUGCAUUUACUGUAAAAGUGGUUUUAUGUUAACAUCUUCUAACUGUGUUCCUAUUUUUUUUUAACUGUGUAGGAUGAAUACCUUAAGGCAUAUUAUGAGGCCCUCAAGAAAAGACAGGAGGAGGAAGAUGCAAAGAGACUGCAGCAGGAAGGCCAGGCAUUUUCUUCUGAAAUUCAUUCUGAGCGGCAGGUGGGCAUGAAAGCCAAACGUGAGGAUGAGAAUGGUGAGGAUGAGGGUGUUGAAUGGGAAGAGGAGCAACCUGCAGGUAUCUUAUCCCUUUUAGUUUUCAGUCAUAUAAUUUAGGAUACAUAUAUGCUUGUAGUAGUGAUAGCAAACUAGGAAGUCGUCUAGGGAGUGAUAGCAUUCCUACGAAAGGAUGAAAAUGGAAGGCAAAAUUAGGAAGUUGGUUAUGCAGGUGACUAAUUGUGUAACUAGUAUGAGAGUGAUGAGGGGAAUAAGUGUUGGGUGGUUGGGAUAGAAAGUACCACACCUGACUUGGUACACUUUUUAUAUUGGUAUAUAAUAGAUUUGUCAAUUACUGCAUUAAAGUUUUCAUUAGUUGAUGAAUCAACCUUUAACUGAAUUUGACAGUCUCCAAGUUAUCGUAGUGUGAACAUGGUUAUUGUGACGUCUUAAGGUGACAACCGAACAUUCCGAUAGAGGCUGUCCAGUUAUUUGCUCAUAUUGUGAGUCGGUUUGUAUGGCCAAGUUGGUCCUGAGAAUUAAGAAUUAACUGUCACUACUCUGUUCCAAAAUGUAAGGCUUAUUUUGAUUCAUCAAGACUGACUAAAAUUUAGUCCACUUUUAUGUGUCUUGUGUGACAUGAAGUUAUAUCACUAGAUUCGUAUUAAAAAAAACUUAUGAUUCUGAUUUGUGUCACAUAAACCACAUAUUGUUGGAGUUAUUGUUAGUCCCUUGUCUUAACGAAUCGAAAUACUCGUUACAUUUUGGGAUGGAGGGAGCAUUCCUUAUGCUUGGACUGUUGAAAUUCUUGUAGAAUGUUUUAUAGUAACCAUGAAGCUAAUGGCCCUUUGCUUCAAGAGAAAAGAAAUGGUAUUUUCUUAUCUUUGUCAUAAACGUAAAUGUGAUUUUCUUUACCUGUUGGGGAUUUUCCGUAUGCGCAUGAAUUUCCAUGUAGGCAGUGUUGACAUUUGAAUUGAAGGUUUGUAUGUUGGAUACAUUUGUCGAAUCUUGUAGAUUAUGUGUAAACUAGUUGGUUUAAACUGAUGCAGGGAAUACAUCGGAGGAGCCAUAUAAGUUUGUGGAUUUGAAUGCCGAGGCCCCAGAAUCUGGCGACGACGAGGAAGAUGAGAUUGACUGGGAAGAAGGUUAAAAGUACGGCGACAAGUUGCUCCGUCUUGAAUUCGUGAAGUCAGUUCAAAGUGGGAUGUUAAAUGGUAUAAUAAUAUUUCCAGAUGUAUGCAUAUCAAGGCUUGGCUGCAAAUAACAUUUUUCUCCCAGAUUUGUGAAAAGUUACUAUAAUGUGAAGUAUGAUAUUGACAUCCAUGUGACGUUAAGAAAUUCAAAAGAAUUUGAAAGAAGUUUUACCCUUUUAGCCCUCUUCAGUCUUAGCUUUUGUCUCCUGUCGUUGUCCCUAAUUAGUUACCACAACCUGUUUGUUGGCCAUGGAGAACGUAUCCUGUGUAAUGAAAGAACAACUCAUGGCCGGUGGAAUUCAGUUGACUAAUAAUGAUUCUAUGAGGCGUGGCAUCCGAAGCGACAAGCUCCAUAGCAGUGUGCAUUGUUUUGUUUUUUUCGCUCGGCAAAGAUGGAGGUUCCAAUAGUGAUCUGUUUGUCUCCGAAUCAACCCACGUUCGUGAUCGUAUUUUUGAAAAAGUUAUAAACAGAAGAUUAGACUCCGGUCAUUUGAAUGAGCACCAACGGUUUGUU